GAGGUCGGCGGAGAUGAUUCUCUCCUCCACCACUGCACACUCAUACAUACGUCACUCGACUUGUGUCUCUACCUGUGUGUUAAAAUAAUAAGUAAUCUCUUGGUACUCGAGUCUUUCCUUCUCCUUUUUCUCUAUCUCUCUCUCUCUCUCCUUCUCUGUAUUCUCAUGCUUUUAAACAAAACAAUCCACAAUUAUUGAUCCUCAGCAUCAUUAUGACUUUCUUAUUUCUCCCAACAAAAUCAGCAGCUGACAUUGAUCUAUCUUAUUGUUUUUACGAGUUUUCUUCUCAACUAAACGUAAUACUUCUCUAUAAAAAAAAUAUAUAUAUAAUGAAAUUCAUGAGAUAACGUGUCGAGUUUAACAAAAAAAAAUACCAAAAAAAAACUCGUCAUGAUAAAAUUGUAAAAAAGUUUCAGAUCAAAAGUUUUUGUAGUUAAAUACAGAAAAAAAAAUUGAGUUGAAAUUUUGUGAGAAGCAUAGGGGGUGAAAAAAAUAGCAGGAGAAAGGGCAAAAAAAAAAGAUGAAAGAUGCAUGCAAAAGAUAAAGAGAUGGGAAUAUAUUUUUCAACGCGACGUUACCUUACUACAGAUAUGACGCGUCUAUAUCCUGACCGUCCGAUUUUUUUUUCUUCAGACGCUGAUGGAUGGAUGUGAUUGCUUCUUUUGAUUUGAUGCAUCCAUGCACCUCUGUUUUCCCCUUUUUCAUUUUUUC
rnacentral:lncRNA from 1 species